UUCCCCGCACGUCGCAUACGUAAUCCUGCUCUCCACCGGGAUAUUUUGUUUCCGCCAUCGCAAAUGUGAAAAACGAAAAUUGUUGUAGCUGCGCAAAUUUUCACAAAAUCGAGUUUUUAUUGCUAUAAUAAUUGCAGGUAUACCGACUGAAAUAUCAUUGUUCGAUGCACUAAUAUUUUCUUUUGAUAUUUUUUGCAGACCACUGCAGGAGAACAAAAAGUAAAACAAAACAU